rnacentral:rRNA from 1 species
GCUAGUAAUGGCAGGUCAGCAUACUGCCGUGAGUACGUUCCCGGGCCUUGUACACACCGCCCGUCACACCAUGAGAGUUGGGAAUACCCGAAGCCUGUGAGCUAACUUUUAGAGGCAGCAGUCGAAGGUAGAAUCAAUGAUUGGGGUGAAGUCGUAACAAGGUAGC